rnacentral:lncRNA from 1 species
UUCGACAGUUGUGUAUUAACCCCUUAGGAAGAAGAGCGGGGAGAUGGAAGUUGUAGGCGUGUGCCCCCGGCCGACCGUCGUUAGACCAGUAUGAGCUAGCGGCGGUGGUCGUCGAGGACUCUAAGCAUCCGCGGAUUGUCGUGGCGUAGUGGUGCCACCGAGGGCACCAACAUCAGCAGUAGAUGCAACAACGGCGGCAACGGUAAGAGACAUAGGCCAAGGAUAGGGAUAGAGCAACUCAGCCACAAUAAUUUUUUAUUAAUUAUGAGAUGUUUCUUAUUUAUUCUAGAUAUGAUCUACUCCCUACAUUUCAUAAUGUAGUGCUCUUGAGAGGUGGAGCAUUAAAGAGCAAAUCAACUGGGCCCAGGCCUUCAUGGCUUCGUCCCCUACUUUCUACUGAUCCAUGCCAACUGCGUAGUUAUUUACUUUGGAAAGGCCUAGAUAUAUUUCACAUUUAACAGAAAAGUUCACACUGCAAUUGUCUGUACAAAGUUAUGUUUUGUUUUCAUUAUUUGUUUAUGUAACUCAUUUUUGGACUUGGUACUCAUUUGACAAUAGUGUUUUUAGAUGGUGCUGGGGAAUAGAUUCAGUUGAGUGGUGGAGUUAGCACUUGCUCAUGGUCAUGGAUGACUCUUCCUCGUCGAUGGAUGUAUGUUUAGUACUCCGUCAGUUUCAUAAUUCUUGUCGUGCUUUUAGUUCAAAGUAAAACCAUGUCAAGAAUUAUGGAAUGGAGGGAGUACUUAUUUGCCGAACCGGAGUUAAUACGUGCAUGGUGUGUGGUAACUACUCUUGCAUUUGAAUUUUUUGUGUGCGUUUAGUCUUUUAGAGGCUUUGUACUCUAUUGAUACACAUGUGGCAUAUCUGCAGGAUAGAUAAUGUUUCAUUGGUAGCCCACACAGUGCAUCUAGAGAAAACAAUUGCUUUCAUCGGCAUACGGGGAUAUAUUCUUCAGUGGACAUUCAGCUAGAAUACAUAUGAAUUUUCCAUAUACUUAAGAGUUUUUUCUCUCAAGGGAGCUGCAUUUUUUUAGAAAGGGAAUAACACAUAUUGGUUGUUUUCAUGGUAUUAGCCACCUCUAUUGUGUGUCUCAAUCAUUUAAAUUUUGGGCAUUGUACUAUCAUGGAUCAGUUUUGCAAUAAAUUGGUAGAAGUUUUUGCCCCCAAGAAUAUAAUGAGAAAUAUUUGCCGCAACUAAACUUUGCUGAGCAUGUCUAUUAACACUUUCCUCUUCUCCUAUUAGAUGUAAUGAUGUAGACCAAAGCAACCCUCAUGUAUAUUGAUACUAUACUAGAAGGCCACUGAAGAAUUUUACAGAACAAGAGAAGAUGGCGUGCACCAUAUCUUUAAGAUGACUUCCCUCACCAUGUGGCAUGCACUUUUCGGUUUUACUUUAGCGCAAUUGCCAUGUAUGUAAGGGAUGCAAUUAGGCUGAAUAUUGCAAUUGUAGUUUUUUCUAAACUUUUUCAACAUCCCAGCAUUAGUAAAAUACUCCCCCCAUUCCAUAAUGUAAGACUUUUUUGCAAGUUAUAUGUUUGUACAUUAUAUUGCUGGAAAUCAAGAAUUUACUCUUUUUGACUAAUAUUGUGUUUUAAUAGUCCAUUUCCUUUGUUUCAAAGGGUUGCGAUAGUGAAUAAAGCAAGAGCAACACCUUGUUUGUCG